AGAGUUUGAUCCUGGCUCAGAUUGAACGCUGGCGGAAUGCUUUACACAUGCAAGUCGAGCGGCAGCGCGGGGCAACCUGGCGGCGAGCGGCGAACGGGUGAGUAAUGCAUCGGAACAUGUCCAUGUCGUGGGGGAUAGCCCGGCGAAAGCCGGAUUAAUACCGCAUACGCCCGAGAGGGGAAAGUGGGGGACCGCAAGGCCUCACGCGAUUGGGUUGGCCGAUGUCCGAUUAGCUAGUUGGCGGGGUAAGAGCCCACCAAGGCGAUGAUCGGUAGCUGGUCUGAGAGGAUGAUCAGCCACACUGGGACUGAGACAUGGCCCAGACUCCUACGGGAGGCAGCAGUGGGGAAUUUUGGACAAUGGGGGAAACCCUGAUCCAACCAUUCCGCGUGAGUGAAGAAGGCCUUCGGGUUGUAAAGCUCUUUUGUCCGGAGCGAAACGGCGAGCGUGAACAUCGCUCGCUACUGACGUACCGAAGAAUAAGCCCCCG
rnacentral:rRNA from 1 species